rnacentral:rRNA from 1 species
CCGGCACGGGUGAGUAACACGUAUCCAACCUGCCGCUACUCUUGGCCAGCCUUCUGAAAGGAAGAUUAAUCCAGGAUGGCAUCAUGAGUUCACAUGUCCGCAUGAUUAAAGGUAUUUUCCGGUAGACGAUGGGGAUGCGUUCCAUUAGAUAGUAGGCGGGGUAACGGCCCGCCUAGUCAACGAUGGAUAGGGGUUCUGAGAGGAAGGUCCCCCACAUUGGAACUGAGACACGGUCCAA